rnacentral:rRNA from 1 species
CAGCAGCCGCGGUAAUACGUAGGUGGCAAGCGUUGUCCGGAAUUAUUGGGCGUAAAGGGCUCGCAGGCGGUUUCUUAAGUCUGAUGUGAAAGCCCCCGGCUCAACCGGGGAGGGUCAUUGGAAACUGGGAAACUUGAGUGCAGAAGAGGAGAGUGGAAUUCCACGUGUAGCGGUGAAAUGCGUAGAGAUGUGGAGGAACACCAAUGGCGAAGGCGACUCUCUGGUCUGUAACUGACGCUGAGGAGCGAAAGCGUGGGGAGCGAACAGGAUUAGAGACCCCCGUAGUCCCUGUCUCUUAUAC